rnacentral:rRNA from 1 species
UACGUAGGUGACCAGCGUUGUCCGGAUUUACUGGGCGUAAAGAGCGCGCAGGCGGUCGUUCAAGUCGAGUGUGAAAGCCCCCGGCUCAACUGGGGAGGGUCAUUCGAUACUGAUCGACUUGAAGGCAGGAGAGGGAAGUGGAAUUCCCGGUGUAGUGGUGAAAUGCGUAGAUAUCGGGAGGAACACCUGUGGCGAAAGCGGCUCACUGGACCACAACUGACGCUGAGGCGCGAAAGCUAGGGGAGCAAACAGG